AGAGUUUGGACCUGGCUCAGAUUGAACGCUGGCGGCAUGCCUAACACAUGCAAGUCGAACGGUAACGACGGGAGCUUGCUCCCGGGCGACGAGUGGCGGACGGGUGAGUAAUACUUAGGAAUCUGCCCAGUAGUGGGGGACAACUCGAGGAAACUCGAGCUAAUACCGCAUACGCCCUACGGGGGAAAGCGGAGGAUCUUUCGGGACUUCGCGCUAUUGGAUGAGCCUAAGUCGGAUUAGCUUGUUGGUGGGGUAAAGGCCUACCAAGGCAACGAUCUGUAGCUGGUCUGAGAGGACGAUCAGCCACACUGGGACUGAGACACGGCCCAGACUCCUACGGGAGGCAGCAGUGGGGAAUAUUGGACAAUGGGGGCAACCCUGAUCCAGCAAUGCCGCGUGUGUGAAGAAGGCCUGCGGGUUGUAAAGCACUUUCAGUAGAGAAGAAAUGCCCAUGGUUAAUACCCGUGGGUCUUGACGUAACCUACAGAAGAAGCACCGGCUAACUCCGUGCCAGCAGCCGCGGUAAUACGGAGGGUGCGAGCGUUAAUCGGAAUUACUGGGCGUAAAGCGCGCGUAGGCGGUUUGGUCAGUCGGAUGUGAAAGCCCUAGGCUCAACCUGGGAAUGGCAUUCGAUACUGCCUGACUAGAGUAUGGUAGAGGGAAGUGGAAUUUCCGGUGUAGCGGUGAAAUGCGUAGAUA
rnacentral:rRNA from 1 species